AGAAUCAACGCUGGCGGCGUGCCUAACACAUGCAAGUCGCACGAGAAAGGGUAGCAAUACCUGAGUACAGUGGCGCACGGGUGAGUAACACGUGAAUCAUCUACCUCCGAGUGGGGAAUAACUGAGAGAAAUCUUAGCUAAUACCGCAUAAUACCCACGGGUCAAAGCAGCAAUGCGCUUGGAGAGGAGUUCGCGGCAGAUUAGUUAGUUGGCGGGGUAAUGGCCCACCAAGACGAUGAUCUGUAUCCGGCCUGAGAGGGCGCACGGACACACUGGAACUGAAACACGGUCCAGACUCCUACGGGAGGCAGCAGUGGGGAAUUUUGCGCAAUGGGGGAAACCCUGACGCAGCAACGCCGCGUGGAGGAUGAAGCCCCUUGGGGUGUAAACUCCUUUCGAUCGGGAAGAUAAUGACGGUACCGAUAUAAGAAGCCCGGCUAACUUCGUGCCAGCAGCCGC
rnacentral:rRNA from 1 species